UACAGAGGUCCCGAGCGUUGUUCGGAUUUAUUGGGCGUAAAGGGUGCGUAGGCGGCGGAGUAAGUUGGGUGUGAAAUCCCGGGGCUCAACCUCGGAAUGGCAUUCAAUACUGCUUCGCUAGAGUACUGGAGAGGAGGCUGGAAUUUACGGUGUAGCAGUGAAAUGCGUAGAUAUCUGGAGGAACACCGGUGGCGAAGGCGGCAUCCUGGACCAUUACUGACACUGAAAAGCGAAAGCCAGGGGAGCAAACGGG
rnacentral:rRNA from 1 species